rnacentral:lncRNA from 1 species
CUGAGCUUCCCAGCAAGAUGAGCUUCACUUCAACUCCUCUGAAAUUCCUGAUCUAAAAUUGAACAGCCUUGCAAGCUGAAGCUGGAGGACCUAAUAUAAACUUAAGAGAGAUUCAUGUCUACUGCUGUGUAAGCCACUCAAAAAGCUACCUGAGUGCCCAAUGACACCAUCAGAGACAUUUCAAACUGCAAAAGAUGCAUUGACCCUGACUUCUAGGAAUCUUGAUUGGCUGCCCAUUGUGCUCAAGAACUAGUUUAUAAUUUUCUCAAACCGUUAACCUUGUUUUUCUCUUUGUGUUCCUCUAGAAAAACUUCUUAUUAAAUACCUGGUUACUUACUUACGUGAUACAGGCCUAACUUUGGGAGCCCACCUACAUCACCAACUUAUUAAAAGACUGGUUCAAUGAGAUGGAACAGCCUAGGCCCUGAUUCAACGGGAAGUAGCUACAUCUGGCACUGCCCCAAAUCCCUCAAGAUUGAGGGAUGGACAUAAAAUAGGGGGGCAUUGAUACUGACCCUGAUAUCAGUUUCUCUACAUUACCCCCAGCAUAUAUUGGGUUAAAACCAAAACAGUCUUUCUCUGCUUACUCCCUGGCUUCCUGGCUUCAGAAUCCGCUAUCCUCCGUGGAGACAGACACAGCCAAGGACAAGCACCUGGAUUCACUCUCUCCUGCCAGCAAGGAGAUAGAGCCUGGUGGGAAAGCUGCUGACCAGCAAGGUCGCAGGCUCCCUCCUCUCUGCAAAUAGUCUAAAGGCCAAAGACAGGCUGGUGGGAAAGCUCCAACCAGCAAGGCCGUGUGCUCCCCCUCCCCUACCUAAAACCCCAAAUAAAAACCCUUCCUUUUAGCUUUCCGGGGAGUUCGAGAUUUCAGUGUUCGCUGCCCUCUCUUCUUGCUCAGUGCUGUGCAAUAAUAAAAUUCCUACUUUCUUCCACUAACCCAGGUGUCAGAGCUUGGCUUGCUGUGCAACAGGUGAGCGAACUCAUUUCAGGUUUGAUAUCAGGUCUAGACUGGAAUCAGUGCCUGCCUCCAGUGUCAGGACUUGACUCCUGUGGUCUUGCUUGAGUACUGCAGUAUAGCGUAUCAAAUACUAUAGCAUGGUAUUUUGAAUAGUAUACUAUUAGGUUAGGCUGUCCAAAGCAAUUCCGUUUUUUCCUGCUCUCCUUGCUGGGCGGUUAAUGAGAAUAUUUAUUUUAAAAUACUGGGAAUUAGACCCAUUAUUAACUUAU